UCUUAGCGGCUGUGAAGAGCCUGAUUUCGGAUAAGAUCAAGAGAGCUCAAGCUAUGAAGGUGAAAGCGAAUAUGAGGCCAGCAUUGCUCUACCAUCACCUCCUCAACCCACAUCUGCCAAACCAACAUCAGUGCAACUAGGGAAUGAUGACUCCACCAGAGUGUCUGCCCAUUGUUGGGAGACUGCAGAAGCACAACCUACAGCGAAAGGAACGCCCCGCACCCUCCUGCUGGGCCUGUUCACCAUUGAUGUCCUACUGAAGUCCAACCUGACGGGAGGGGUCAACAAGGUCGAUCCAUCUGCAGAGAGACGCCAGCCUCUGGAGCCCAACACGCUUACAGCUUUACUCAUCAUGGCGUUCCCUCAGCUGUCUGCCUCCAUGCUGUUGGCUUCAUUCCUUCUCCUCUACUGGACGACAUCCUCAGCUGAGUCACAUGAUCCCACAUCCUCCGUCCUCUCCCCCCCCUCCAGGGUGAAGAGGGAGAUGCCUUUAGACACCAGAGAGAAAGUGGAAAACGUCUCCAGCUUGGCGCCUGGUGUCAGAGUUCUGGGCGCCUCUUUUGUCAACACACUCAAAGAACUGAAUCAGGGGGGUUGUGCACUUUAAAUAGUUUUUUACGUUCAGUUUUCUUAAAAUACAUGUCUUUGUUAGGUUAAAAUGUUAUUUUCGAGUAACAUCCAUGUCAUUGU